UACCAAUGACUGUAAAUGUCUCUCCGGGC
rnacentral:piRNA from 1 species